rnacentral:rRNA from 1 species
GGGGGGGGGGGGCGGGGGGCGGGGGGGGGGGGGGGCGGGGGGGGGGGGCCGGCGGGUGGGGGGGGCGCGGGGGGCGAGCGGGGGAGUAACGCGUGAGUCACCUGGCCUUGACUUUGGGGUAACGUCAGGCAACUGGGGCUAAUACCGGGUAGGAGCUCCUGAUGCAUGGUGGGGGUUGGCAAGGUUCGGCGGUUGGGGAUGGACUCGCGGCUUAUCAGCUUGUUGGUGGGGUAGUGGCUUACCAAGGCUUUGACGGGUAGCCGGCCUGAGAGGGUGACCGGCCACAUUGGGACUGAGAUACGGCCCAGACUCCUACGGGAGGCAGCAGUGGGGAAUAUUGCACAAUGGGCGGAAGCCUGAUGCAGCAACGCCGCGUGCGGGAUGACGGCCUUCGGGUUGUAAACCGCUUUCGCCUGUGACGAAGCGUGAGUGACGGUAAUGGGUAAAGAAGCACCGGCUAACUACGUG